rnacentral:rRNA from 2 species
UAGACCUGAGGUCAGGCAAGACCACCCGCUGAACUUAAGCAUAUCAAU